CAGUAGCCGCGGUAAUACGUAGGGGGCAAGCGUUAUCCGGAAUUACUGGGUGUAAAGGGAGCGUAGACGGUUAAACAAGUCUGAAGUGAAAUGCCGGGGCUCAACCCCGGAGCUGCUUUGGGAACUGUAGAACUGGAGUGUCGGAGGGGUAAGCGGAAUUCCCAGUGUAGCGGUGAAAUGCGCAGAUAUUAGGAGGAACACCGGCGGCGAAGGCGGCUUUCUGGAUUGUAACAGACACUGAGGCACGAAAGCGUGGGUAGCAAACAGGAUUAGAUACCCCGGUAGUCCCUGUCUCUUAUAA
rnacentral:rRNA from 1 species